AGGAAGCAGUGCUUGAUUUGAGGAGGAGACGGUGACAUUCCUAACAUGUGGGUGAAGGGAACCAAAACAGGAUGAAUCACUAUGAGCCAUGAUUGGGGAGCUUCUUACCAGGCCUUUGCCAGCCUUGGAGGCCAAGUUCUGUCUUUCAAGCUUAUUUCAUAUACAACCAAGGAGACUGUUUAUGCUUGGAAUGUUGCUCCUGCAAACUGGAAUGUACGGUUGACUAAGACAAAUGUGAACUUCCAUUGAUUAUUCGCUAUGACUCUUCUUUUACGUUCUUUUUCACUUCUUUUUGUAAGGGGGAGUCCCAUAUGGUUCUUGUUUAGCACUUUUUAUUUUUGGGCAAUUUUCUUUGUACUUUAUGAUGAAAAUGGAAUUUCACCUGCCAUAAUGAUGACUAGCAGAAGGUGCCAAAAUAACUU
rnacentral:misc_RNA from 1 species